UACGAAGGGGGCUAGCGUUGCUCGGAAUCACUGGGCGUAAAGCGCACGUAGGCGGAUUGCUAAGUCAGGGGUGAAAUCCUGGAGCUCAACUCCAGAACUGCCCUUGAUACUGGCGGUCUCGAGUCCGGGAGAGGUGAGUGGAACUGCGAGUGUAGAGGUGAAAUUCGGAGAUAUUCGCAAGAACACCAGUGGCGAAGGCGGCUCACUGGCCCGGUACUGACGCUGAGGUGCGAAAGCGUGGGGAGCAAACAGG
rnacentral:rRNA from 1 species